GACGAACGCUGGCGGCGUGCUUAACACAUGCAAGUCGAACGGAAAGGCCCUGCUUUUGUGGGGUGCUCGAGUGGCGAACGGGUGAGUAACACGUGAGUAACCUGCCCUUGACUUUGGGAUAACUUCAGGAAACUGGGGCUAAUACCGGAUAGGAGCUCCUGCUGCAUGGUGGGGGUUGGAAAGUUUCGGCGGUUGGGGAUGGACUCGCGGCUUAUCAGCUUGUUGGUGGGGUAGUGGCUUACCAAGGCUUUGACGGGUAGCCGGCCUGAGAGGGUGACCGGCCCAUUGGGGACUGGGUAACGGCCCAAACCCCUACGGGGGGCAGCGGGGGGGAAUAUUGAAAAAGGGGCGGAAGCCUGAUGCAGCAACGCCGGGGGGGGGAUGACGGCCUUGGGGUUGUAAACCGUUUUCGCCUGGGACGAAGGGUGAGUGACGGUAAUGGGUAAAGAAGCACCGGCUAACUACGG
rnacentral:rRNA from 1 species